GGUCUCGUUCUAAGUUUAUAGAGGAAGAAACGGAGAAAAUCCGCAGGAAGCAAAGAACAAAACGGGGAAAAAGCGACGGUGUCGUUUUAACGUAAGAGAGUAAGAAACGGAGAAAUCAAGAGGCGUGGGUUUUUUUACUAGAAGGAAGAAGAAACGGAGGAGUGUGUCUCCCAAGUUAAAACAAAUGGUGUGUGCUUCAGGGCAUACCAUGUAUGUUAGAGGAAUAGGUUUUCUAAAUAUAAUCAUUUUUAUAUUAAGUUAUAAAUAUAUUAGAGCCUAAAAAGGACUAGUAUUUUCCUUAACAAAAAAACAUGUUGAUUUCAUUCAUCUAUCUAGAGGUUUUGAUUAUACACAAUUAACCCCAUUAUUUAAAAUUUCACCAAAUAUCUCUUUUAUUUUGAGUGAGAAUAAAGUGAGCGAUAUUCUGUGAAAUUUAAUAAUAAUAGAAGACCAAAAUUCUUUUAUUAAAAAUCUAUUUUAUAAGAAUUCUAAAAAGCACUUUUAGCACUUGAAAACAUUUUCUUGGUAAAAAUUUUGAAGUGAUAAAAAGUUAAAAAUGCUUCCUAAACUCAUAGACAAACAGACUCUUAAGAGAAAAGUCCAAAAACCACACUAUAUGGUAACCUAGUUCAUCUUUAGAUUACAUAGUAGUCGGAAUUAGAGUCUAUCAACUAUCCUAUCACUCACACACACAAAGGAUAACAAUUUUUUUUAGCCCACAUGCCCUUGAAGCUUAAUUUUAGGCCGACAUGUAUGUUUGUAUAAUUGUUCUUAGAGCCUUGUAUAAAUACCAAACCCAUGAAUGAGAAAGAUGCUUUUUGAACUCCUAAAAUUUUGUGUGGUAUAUGAGAAGAAAAUGUAAUUAGCAAGAGGAGAAAAUGUUAAGUGGUAUAAUGGAAGAGUAGAAUGGUGUGGGGGAUCCAUUGAAAUGCUUGGAGGACUGGUUUCAACAACACUAUGAGAAUUUUGAGAAGAGGAAUUGUUCUCUAAUGCAUCGUGAUAAAACACUAGCCUACGAUGAUGGAUGCAAUUACAUUCUCAAUGUUGACCCUCACCCAUAACCAUGGCUAUCCAUUCUGCAAGGUGUUAAAUGAUACGAUAAUUUGAAAAUAUAACAAAAAUAUAUAAUAAAAAAUAAAUAAAAUAAUAAAAGUACUUACAUGGUAAAACCCUCUUUAUAUGAGGGAAACUUUUAUGGGGUAAGAUUGAAAAAAUUUUAGUAAGGAUACGAAAUUACAAUAUAUCUCUCAAUUAUUAGGAAAGAAUAUUUUGUGAAUGAGGAAAUAAGAUAAAAGCUUAUAAAAUGAUGAAAACUUUGGGAUGAAUAGGGAGGAGGCCUUCUUAUAUGGCCCUAGGAAGUUCCCUCCCUUUGUCUCCUAAUAGAUGUGAAAUGACUUCAAUCUUAACAUAGGGACCCUUAGAUAUGCAAAUAAAUGAACUAAAGGUGCAAAUGGAUUCAAUUAAAGGAAAAGUGUCCCAUAAUUGAUAACCUAAAUAGUGUGGGGCUUGAUUACCAACCCAUUUGUUGCUAAUGUAUUGAAGGCGAAAGUCCCCCGUGGGUUUGUGUUUUCUAAGUUCCAAGCUUAUGAUGAAACAAGAAACAUAAUUGAUCACUUAAUACACUUUCGUCAAUUAAUUACUUUGGUGUACGACAAUGAUGUCUUGACAAAUAAGGCGUUUCUAUCAAGUCUACAGCAUACUAGGAAUGACAAUUCUUGUUUGUGGGUCAUUUUUCUAUCAUGUCAAAAUAUAUGCAUUCUAUUGUACAAGUCAACCCAUAUCCAACAUGAAAAAUAAUCAUGUUAAAAAUAUAAACUCGAUUACUAUAUAAAUAUUAAAUAGGUAACACGUCAUAUAACUCAAUUAAUAAUCGAAUUCUCCUAUUUAAUAACCAAGUUGAUUUAAGUCUUAUAUAAAUUUAUAUGAUUAAUGUUUCAAUUAAAUAUGUUGGCAACUCAAUCGACCUACUUAUUUAAAAACAAAUUUAAAAUGAGCGUUAAAAGUUAUUAUUAGAUUAAUCAUAAGGAUUAUCAAAUGAGUUAAAUCAAAUCAUAUUAUGCAAAUUGACCCAAAAAUGACCUAUUUAUUAAACAAGUUAUGUAGGUUUAUAAGAAUUUGACCAAAACCUAAUUAUACUCGACCUAAAUCCUAUUGGCUUAUCAACCUUUGCCACCCCUAAUAUGGGCCGUAUUUAUUUUAUAAUAUAUAUAUAUAUAUAUAUAUAUAUAUAUGUACAUAUAUAUAUAUGUACAUUCCUUUUAUUCAUCAUGUCAAAUAUUGUGAGUAGAGAAGAUUAAUUUUAUUAUUUUUAUUUGACAUGCAUUUUAUUUAAAGAAAAAUACAAGGGAAGAAAAAAAAGUAGAAGGAAAUAAUAAAAUGAUAAAAAAAUAAAAAAUUAUUUUAAAAUUAAUAAAUUAUUUUUAUAUGUUAAUUCAAACUCAUUUCAUUUAUUUUAAUUUUUGAAUAUAAAAAUUAAAUAAUUUGAAAUAUAUAAAUUUCUACUUGGUUUUAAAUAUUAUAUUUAAUUUUUUUACAUUUUUUAUAAUACAACAUAUAUAAGGAAAUCAUUUUAUUUAAUUUUUUUUUUCUUAGCAAUUUUUAAAAAUUAAACAUAGUCUUAAAUUACUUAUAGUUCAAUGCUAAUUAACGACAAAAUCAAAUAUUUAAGUUAAUUUUUUUAAAUAAAAAAAAAACCCACAUGAACACAACAACUACUUCUAACAUAAUCAUGUAUCCACAUGACAACUAGUAAAAUUUCAUGAGAGAUUACCCCAAAAGUGAUAUAUAGGAAAUUAAUUAAACUCCAACAAGAUAUACCAAAUAUUUCCUUUUAUUACAUUAUGUCACCAAAAAAAGCAACAAAAUCCACACAAAGGCAUGAGACAAAAAGGAUGAUCUCACACAUUCAAACACAAACAUUGAGGAAACUGAGGAGUUGAAGCUCAAGACUCCAAACCAGAAGCUACACACAUAAAUUAAUCUAUCCACCAUUCUCUUCUGUCCUUCAUCUUCCUCUAGUCCUCGCCUUCUCUUCUUUGAAGGUUUCUCUUCCUUCAAUUCUAAGAGAUUUUUACUGCAAGUAAAAGGCCAAGAACGACAAGACCGAGGCCCCCACCAAUGUUCCAGCAGCGGGCAAGGUUUCGAUGGAGCCACUAGAGGGUCCGGGUGCAGGAGACAGGGUGUCGGUUGAGGCCAAAACAGCAGUCAUGGAGGCGGCGGCAAUGAGAACAGCACAGGAGAUCUUCUUCAUGUCCAUGGCGGCAAAAGAUCGGUGAAAAAAUUCCUGAGAAGAAAAGAGAAUCGACACCGAAAAAACCGCCCUGGAGAUGUGGAAUGAUAUUAUUUGGGGUGAGUUUCUUCUAUGCAGCCCUGGUGAGGACUAUUGAGAUGGAGGAAGAGGAUACAUAUAGGGAGAGAAAGGUUUAUUUUUGGAAAAAUAUUAGUUAAUUAGGGUUUUAGUGGGCAUGGCUUAUUCAUUCUGUUUUUACGUGUGUGGUUUUGCAUGGGAAGAGGGUGGCUGAGCUUUGUGGGUGAUAUUAAUUAGGUCAGAGUUUUAGGCGGGUUUUGGGUGGACAUAAUUGCAUGUAGGGGCAAAGAUAAAGAGAUCGAUUAAUUCUAAGGAGAGAUUGAACUCAAAGAAUAUGGUUUAAUUAGCUUUGUAAUUGCUGACAUUAUGUUUGGUUUGCGAGAAAUAGUAAGGAAUGAAAGAAAAAUGGUUAAGGAAAAUGAUUUUUGUUUCAUGUAACAAAUAAAAUAAAAUAUAAUUAAAAUUUAUUAAAAGAGUAAAUAUUUUUUAAUUAUAUAAUUAUUACAUCAAAAAUAAAAAAAAUAAAUUAAAUAAGUUUAAAAUAAAUUUUUUUCUUUCUUUUAUUUUCUUACUCUCAUAUUUUUUUCUCAAAUUUCACAAAAACCAAACAUAACUCAAUUUCUUAUUUCCAUUUAUAUUUUGUGACUUUUUAUGUUGAUUUUCUAAGUGAAACCAUUGUAAGGGAUGUUAUAUGGUCAAUGGGCUUUUUAGUCCAUGACUUCAUCAUUUGCUAGCAUUUGAUAAUUUCAUUAUGUUUUGGUAUGUUUAGAACAAUAAAAAAUAAAAAAUAGAGAAUGAAAAUGAAAAUGAAAAAUCAAUUCCAUAUGCAUUAAUCAUUAUUUUCAACAUAUCUACAGCUAUUUUGGCAAGAUUUGGGUUAGGAAGAUUGGAGACACCAGGAAAAUGACCGUUGGAAACGUAACGGCUAGUUUUCAUGAAAUUGCAAAAAGUAGGAGUGUUACCACCCUAAAAACCCUCGUUCAUUAAAUUUCCACUCUUUUUAUCACCACUUAAGACUACGCAACACCCUCCGUGUCGCCACGUGGCAAUAUCAACGUCUCCUGUUUCCCUUACGUCACUCACCCUUUCUCUCCUAUACUUCUCACGAGUACGUUUUCCUCAGUUUUCGACCGUUGGAUGAUCAUCAUAAAGUCAUUUGACACUCACAAUUUUAGACCUAUAAGGUUGAAGUGGACGUACUCUUUAGUAGCGGUGAGUAUCUUCUCCACCUGCAAGAGAGCCGUUGCUGGACCCACUGGGUAGAAGCUGACCAGUCACUUUCUUUUUGCCAAAAUUUAAAUCAGAUUAACGUUCAAAAACACCAAACCAACGGCUAUAAAUUUGGCCUCUCCAGUUCUUGCUCUCACAACUCUAAAUCUUACGGAGAGAGCACGAAUCUCACACACUCUCCAACAUUUUCUCUCUGCUCUGUCUCUCUCUCUAGAAAUGGCGCACGCUAGCAUCGCCAGAGCUACUUAUCUCGUUGUCUUCGUCGUGGCGUGCUUCCUCUCUGGGGCGGUUGUCAAGGCACAGGAGCAGGACACUGUGCCUGCGCCGGCGCCGUCGCCGACGAUAGAGCACGGAUCUGGAUUUGCGGUGCCGGUGUCCGGCGCCGUGGUUUGCUGCUCUGUGUUGAUUUCCAUGGUGGCGCUUCUUCGGCAGUAGAAUUUGGGAGGUUUGGGAAGGAAAAUUUCUACAUUUGUGGUUUGAGAUGAGGAGAGUGAAUAUCGAUGUUUCUGUUAUUCAUUUGCCCUAAUUUUUGGUUAGGGUUGUGAUAUUAUAUAUGCCUUUUACCAUAUUAAUAAAAUCAUAUUAUGCUAUUAAAUCUUUGUCUUCAAAUUUAUUUAUUUUUCUGUGUUUUAAAUUUAUGGUAAUUGAUCUUGAUGCAACUGAACCAAAUUCAAUUACAAAAUCAGUUGGCCCCACUUUUGGACUGAUAAAAAGAGGGAUUUUCUUUUCUUCCUUUUUGAAUCAGUUUCCUUUUCUAUUAAUUUUUACAAAAAGUUAAACCGUUUAAAAAUUCAAAUGCAAAAAGUGACAUCUUAUU
rnacentral:lncRNA from 1 species